GCGGGCGUGGUGAAGGGGAAUCACGAGAGCCUUCCAAGCUCUAGUCACCGGUUCGAGCCCGGUCGCCCGCU
rnacentral:tRNA from 1 species